rnacentral:rRNA from 1 species
UUAAAAAGCUCGUAGUUGAAUUUCAGCAAUUGUCAAAAUGUCAUUUUGUACUAUUUGACGUUGCUUAUUUUAUUACUUUGAGAAAAUUAGAGUGUUUCAAGCAGGCUUUUGUCUUGAAUACUUGAGCAUGGAAUAAUAGAGUAGGACCUUGGUUCUAUUUUGUUGGUUUUGUUACCUUGGUAAUGGUUAAUAGGAACGGUUGGGGGCAUUCGUAUUUAACUGUCAGAGGUGAAAUUCUUAGAUUUGUUAAAGACGAACUACUGCGAAAGCAUUUGCCAAGGACGUUUCCAUUAAUCAAGAACGAAAGUUAGGGGAUCGAAGACGAUCAGAUACCGUCGUAGUCCUAACCAUAAACUAUGCCGACUAGGGAUUGGAGGUCGUCAUUUUUCCGACUC